ACAAAUCGCUUCCCUAGUAUGCAGUUCGCUUCACACUAACGCGACAUUGAAACCAAUUCAAGAGCAAACCUAAUAUUCUUGGAUUGUUGGACACAAACUCGCACGUACGAGUAUCUAAAAUAAGCGUAGAUUUCGCGCAGCAAACUAAAAUCGCCAACCUUAAUUUUAGUGAUUGAAUAUAAUUCAUUCAGUGAACACUGAGCACAGAUUCCUGCAUAAGUGAAAGUAACCGAGCGACGCAAUAUGGGCAAAGGGAAAAGUGGAGGUGGUCAAACCGACAAAAAAGCUGGUGGAGGUGGCGCAGCCGCAGCUGCCGGAGCCAAAGGUAAAGACAACAAAGCUCCUGCUGGUGGUGCGAAAGCAGACAAUAAAGGAGGAAAAAAAGGAGGAAAGAAGUAGCGUUUGCUUUCUCCCUGUUUAGUGUGAAUGAGGACAAACUGGAUUGAUUAAUUCUGCUCAAAAUCAUGUGAUACUUUCAACAAUUGAAAUUUUAUUAUAACUACAGCGAAUGAAUGUGUAAUUUCAUAUAAAUAAACAAAAUAUUAAAAAU